rnacentral:snRNA from 1 species
GUGCUCACUUCGGCAGCACAUAUACUAAAAUUGGAACCAUACAGAGAAGAUUAGCAUGGCCCCCGCGCAAGGACGAUAGGUAAAUUCGUGAAGCGUUACGUAUUUUU